rnacentral:tRNA from 1 species
GCCUGGUGGCUUAGUUGGUUUAAGUGUCUGACUUCAGUUCAGGUCAUGAUUUCACAGUUUGUGAGUUCGAGCCCCACAUCAGGCU